UGGGGAAUAUUGGACAAUGGGCGAAAGCCUGAUCCAGCCAUGCCGCGUGUGUGAAGAAGGCCUUUUGGUUGUAAAGCACUUUAAGUGGGGAGGAAAAGCUUAUGGUUAAUACCCAUAAGCCCUGACGUUACCCACAGAAUAAGCACCGGCUAACUCUGUGCCAGCAGCCGCGGUAAUACAGAGGGUGCAAGCGUUAAUCGGAAUUACUGGGCGUAAAGCGCGCGUAGGUGGUUAUUUAAGUCAGAUGUGAAAGCCCCGGGCUUAACCUGGGAACUGCAUCUGAUACUGGAUAACUAGAGUAGGUGAGAGGGGAGUAGAAUUCCAGGUGUAGCGGUGAAAUGCGUAGAGAUCUGGAGGAAUACCGAUGGCGAAGGCAGCUCCCUGGCAUCAUACUGACACUGAGGUGCGAAAGCGUGGGUAGCAAACAGGAUUAGAUACCCUGGUAGUCCACGUCGUAAACGAUGUCUACCAGUCGUUGGGUCUUUUAAAGACUUAGUGACGCAGUUCACGCAAUAAGUAGACCGCCUGGGGAGUACGGCCGCAAGGUUA
rnacentral:rRNA from 1 species